CCUACGGGAGGCUGCAGUGAGGAAUAUUGGUCAAUGGGCGAGAGCCUGAACCAGCCAAGUCGCGUGAGGGAAGACGGUCCUAUGGAUUGUAAACCUCUUUUGUCGGGGAGCAAAAAGGCCUCGUGAGGCCACAAGUGAGAGUACCCGAAGAAAAGGCAUCGGCUAACUCCGUGCCAGCAGCCGCGGUAAUACGGAGGAUGCGAGCGUUAUCCGGAUUUAUUGGGUUUAAAGGGUGCGUAGGCGGACUGGAAAGUCAGCGGUAAAAUCGAGAGGCUCAACCUCUUUCCGCCGUUGAAACUGUCGGUCUUGAGUGGGCGAGAAGUAUGCGGAAUGCGUGGUGUAGCGGUGAAAUGCAUAGAUAUCACGCAGAACUCCGAUUGCGAAGGCAGCUUACUAAGCCAUAACUGACACUGAAGCACGAAAGCGUGGGGAUCAAACAGGAUUAGAUACCCUUGUAGUC
rnacentral:rRNA from 1 species